rnacentral:tRNA from 1 species
GUGGAUGUAGCCAAGUGGACCAAGGCAGUGGAUUGUGAAUCCACCACACUCGGGUUCAAUUCUCAUCCUUCUCC